AGAGUUUGACCAUGGCUCAGAUUGAACGCUGGCGGCAGGCUUAACACAUGCAAGUCGAACGGUAACAGGAAGGAAGCUGGCUUUCUUUGCUGACGAGUGGCGGACGGGUGAGUAAUGCUUGGGAAUCUGGCUUAUGGAGGGGGAUAACUACGGGAAACUGUAGCUAAUACCGCGUAAUAUCUUCGGAUUAAAGGGUGGGACCGUAAGGCCACCUGCCAUAAGAUGAGCCCAAGUGGGAUUAGGUAGUUGGUGGGGUAAAGGCCUACCAAGCCGACGAUCUCUAGCUGGUCUGAGAGGAUGACCAGCCACACUGGAACUGAGACACGGUCCAGACUCCUACGGGAGGCAGCAGUGGGGAAUAUUGCACAAUGGGGGGAACCCUGAUGCAGCCAUGCCGCGUGAAUGAAGAAGGCCUUCGGGUUGUAAAGUUCUUUCGGUGAUGAGGAAGGCGGUUGUUUUAAUAGAACAAUCGAUUGACGUUAGUCACAGAAGAAGCACCGGCUAACUCCGUGCCAGCAGCCGCGGUAAUACGGAGGGUGCGAGCGUUAAUCGGAAUGACUGGGCGUAAAGGGCACGCAGGCGGUGACUUAAGUGAGAUGUGAAAGCCCCGGGCUUAACCUGGGAAUUGCAUUUCAUACUGGGUCGCUAGAGUAUUUUAGGGAGGGGUAGAAUUCCACGUGUAGCGGUGAAAUGCGUAGAGAUGUGGAGGAAUACCGAAGGCGAAGGCAGCCCCUUGGGAAUAUACUGACGCUCAUGUGCGAAAGCGUGGGGAGCAAACAGGAUUAGAUACCCUGGUAGUCCACGCUGUAAACGCUGU
rnacentral:rRNA from 1 species